UCAGUGGAACCAGUCGCAGGAAGCAGGAAGCUCCGGUCGAACGUUUCAACGCGCGAAAAGCCGUCCGUGUAUAGCAACGCGUUUUAUGUGCAGUGCAUCUUGUGCCCCACCACCAGCAUCAGCAUCAUCAUCGUUAGGCAACAGGAAGUGAAGACCAAGCGGGGGAAGUGGUUCACCGGAAGGUGAAAGGUGAAAACAGUGUGCGAGCGCGAUUUUCCUCGGGUCUUCGUCUGCUUGCUCGGUGACAAGUGAGGCGAGAAAAAGGGGUUUUCCCUCCCUCCCCGGUUAGUGUCGGCGGUCGUUCGUCUGAACCCUUUGCUGUGGAGUUGGGGAAAUAAGUGCGUCGUCUCUGCGUUUGAGUUGAUAAAGCAGUGCUGACAAAAGGAUAAAGUGCACGCAUUGUCGAGGAUAUUGUGCGUUGCUGGCUGAUAGAAGUGUAAAGGUCAAACAAUAAAAAAACAGUUUCUGGGAAAAGUGAAAGGCGAAAUUUUUUUCUCGAUCCAACCAAUACCAAGAAAUAACAGUGAAAAGCAAAACCCAAACAUAGCGCAGAUAAAAGUGCACCAAGUUUACCCCAACCGUGGAAAAUAGAAGAAAAACAGGAUCAAAACGAAACGAUUCCAGGAGGUGCACCAAACCGACAGUCCAAGAAGUUCCACCAUUUUUGGCAGAUUGUGUAGAUAAUUAAAAAAGAAAUUUCGUUCCCUCAUCCCGAGGACGACCAUCGUCAUCGAUAAAAGUGCUUGUACCCACAAAAAGGGAGGUGAUUUUCCAGGGGAGGAGAGGCCAACAAAAAAGCAAUCACUCUAGCAAAUUUCUUCUGCCACCCCCUCCUAGCAAAAACACUCUCGAUUCAAGGGGGGAGUUUCUUUGCCUUUCGAAACGGCUCUUAGUCUAUUUGCCUAUCACACGACCACCAACAAAUCGUCCCGGGGGGAAAAACCACCAAAGUGAGGAAUAGAAUCGAAACCGGUGCUGGAGCCGGAAGUGAAAAUUGCUUUUUGGUGUGAUUUCCGCACGGAAGUUUCCGGUGCGGGAGGGGAGGUGAUUAAGUGUGCGCCGCAGGGAAACGGCCCGACAGUGAAAAGGCAAUAAAAGAAGCAAAGUGCCAGUUUGUGAGUCUAGUACAAGAAUCCAAAGGUCGACACAAAAACCAAAUUUUCGUUUGCAUCCACGUCAUUUCGUGAUUACUACACGGUCAAAAGUCGGUCCAUCAGGGGGGAAGUGAGUGAAAAUUACAUUGCUAUUACUGAGGAAGCUAAUGAAAAAUCGAAGAGUGAGCGAAAGUAAGUGAGCCAAUAAGUGCACCUAAACACGAACGUGUGUUUGCAGUCUCCGUCUCCGAGUCAGUCGAAAAGAAAUCAAACUCUCUCCCAUCAGCUAAUUGGAUUAUAAAUUAACCGGAAGGAGAGCUCACGCUCCGAGCAAUAGCCCAAACCAACCGGCUGCUAGUCACCAAUUGGAGUAGAGUGGAAAUGAGCGCAAGUUGAGCGUGGAAAUAAGCGGAAAAUC